GCUGGGAUAGCUUAGUUGGUAGAGCAUGAGACUCCUACUCUCAGGGUUGUGGGUUUGAGCCCCACAUUGGGCA